AAAAAAUUAUUAUAAGUUAGUAUAUUUUUUUGUCAAGAAAAAGGUUGAUUUUUUA
rnacentral:tRNA from 1 species